rnacentral:rRNA from 1 species
GAUUAACGCUGGCGGCGUGCCUAACACAUGCAAGUCGAACGAGGUAGCAAUACCUAGUGGCAGACGGGUGAGUAACGCGUGGUCAACCUACCGUUGAGUGGGGGAUAACUAGCCGAAAGGUUAGCUAAUACCGCAUACGUCUCCGAGUGGCAUCACUUGGCGAUAAAAGGAAGCAAUCCGCUCGAUGACGGGACCGCGUCCCAUUAGCUAGAUGGUGGGGUAACGGCCUACCAUGGCACCGAUGGGUAGCUGGUUUGAGAGAGCGACCAGCCACACUGGGACUGAGAAACGGCCCAGACUCCUACGGGAGGCAGCAGUGAGGAAUUUUCCGCAAUGGGCGCAAGCCUGACGGAGCGACGCCGCGUGUGGGAAGAAGGCCUCGGUCGUAAC